AUACGUAGGGGGCGAGCGUUGUCCGGAAUGAUUGGGCGUAAAGGGCGCGUAGGCGGCGCGGUAAGUCUGGAGUGAAAGUCCUGCUUUCAAGGUGGGAAUUGCUUUGGAUACUGCCGCGCUUGAGUGCAGGAGAGGUUAUCGGAAUUCCCGGUGUAGCGGUGAAAUGCGUAGAGAUCGGGAGGAACACCAGUGGCGAAGGCGGGUAACUGGACUGCAACUGACGCCGAGGCGCGAAAGUGUGGGGAGCAAACAGGAUUAGAUACCCUGGUAGUCCACACUGUAAACGAUGAAUGCUAGGUGUAGGGGGUAUCGACCCCUUCUGUGCCGCAGUCAACACAAUAAGCAUUCCGCCUGGGGAGUACGGCCGCAAGGUUGAAACUCAAAUGAAUUGACGGGG
rnacentral:rRNA from 1 species